CAGAGUGAACGGUCUGCGGACCGGUUUGCCCGUCCUUUUGUCAUGCGCUGACGGGGUCCUGGCGGCCGCCUUCGGGCGGCGCUGCGGGGGCCCCCGAUUUACACUUCCCAGGAGGCGUUGCGCGGCCGCUCGACGGCGGCGCGACCGCCUGGGGUCUUUUGCAAACCCAUGCGAGAAGCUGAAGUCUGAGAUACAAAAACCAAAAGAAGCA
rnacentral:misc_RNA from 1 species